AGCAGCCGCGGUAAUUCCAGCUCCAAUAGCGUAUAUUAAAGUUGUUGCAGUUAAAAAGCUCGUAGUUGAAUUUUGGGUCUGGCCGGGCGGUCCGCCCUCUGGGUGAGCACUGUUCCGACGCCGGGCCUAUCCUUCUGGUGAGUCGGCAUGUCCUUUAUUGGGUGUGCCGGGGAACCAGGACCAUUUACCUUGAAAAAAAUUAGAGUGUUCAAAGCAGGCGUAUGCUCGGAUACAUUAGCAUGGAAUAAUGAAAUAGGACGCGUGGUGCUAUUUUGUUGGUUUCUAGAACCGCCGUAAUGAUUAAUAGGGAUAGUUGGGGGCAUUAGUAUUCAAUUGUCAGAGGUGAAAUUCUUGGAUUUAUUGAAGACUAACUUCUGCGAAAGCAUUUGCCAAAGGAUGUUUUCAUUAAUCAAGAACGAAAAGUUAGGGGAUCGAAGACGAUCAGAUACCGUCGUAGUCUUAACCAUAAACUAUGCCGACUAGGAAUCGGGCGAUGUUAUUCU
rnacentral:rRNA from 1 species